rnacentral:tRNA from 1 species
CGGGGCGUAGCGCAGCCUGGUAGCGUACCUGCAUGGGGUGCAGGGGGUCGAGUGUUCGAAUCACUCCGUCCCGACCA